rnacentral:lncRNA from 1 species
GAGCCACCAUGUCUAGCUUGCUUCUAACUGUGUCGUUUGGAAUGUUUCUUUGCUCAUUUCUUCAAGGGAAGAGCGAUCCUUCUGGGAGGUGGUCUCUGUCUGUGAAGCUAUUAAGCUGAGGAAGAAAACAGCCACUUCUGGAAGACCCUGACUCUGAGAUCCUCUAGGCCUCGCCUUCCACAGGCUUGACCAAGCAGUAAGAGCUGCAGGAAGUCACAAGGAGACAAGACAGGAUGCCUGGAAGAGUCUCAGACCAUCCAAGCUACCUGGAUGAAACUCAGACGGAUUGGGCUUCUUCAAGGACCCACAACCACCUGUUGCACAACCUCCACGUGUUGGACGUUGUGAGGUGUUCCCUAUGCUCUGGUGGGCUUUGGCGAUGCAGUUGUCUGUGAGUCAUUUCUGCUCUUGUAACGGACCCCUCACUUGUAUGCUUAUAAAUAACCCCAGUAAACCCACUGGCUCACCACGAUCAGUGGUGACCUUAAUUUCGGUCUGCUGUUGAGGUGACGUGUUUGGGUACGUCUCCCCAGGAACAGUGUCACACGGAAAAUCUGGCAACUAACGGACAAGGCAUUUACUCAGUGGAACAGCUAGUUUAACUUUUGAGAACUUGAUAUUUUCCUCAGAGAGUUAAAAAUAAGUCUAGCAGACCCACAGUAUUAGCUCGCAUUUUACCGACACAAGUUUAAAUCUAAACAGAGCACGGGUUUCGUAUGCCCUUGGCUCUAUAAACUGAGCAAAACCACAACACAAACGUGAACAAAAACUUUAGCAUCAAAUUAAAAAAAAUUCAAAUCAGCAUAAAAUCAAGGAACAGACUAAACUUGUCACAUUGUGUUUCACAGUAGCCGUAUGAAGUUUUGAGUUACCAUUUUUUCUGUAUUAUAUUUUAAUUUUAUUUUUAAAAACAAUGUAUAAAGCAUUAAUAUCAUUUAUGAACUGCUUUCCUAGUGUUUUGGCCUUUACUUAUCCCAAACUUCCCUCCUUGCUGUGGAAUUGCUUAUCUGCCAUAUGGCUAAACCCCAUCCCAUCCCACCUUCAGGUGACAGAUGUCCUCUCUUCCUCCUUUUCUUCACCUGGGUAGCUGUUGAGAUUUGCAGGUUUUUCUCUUGUGGUUUGAAUAAGAUACCCCCUACCCUCCUGCAGGCACCUAUGUUUGAAUGCUUAGUCACCGACACUGGGAAUUGGAACUCUGUUAGGUUAGAAUGUUAGAACAGUAGUGGCCUUGUUGGAGGAAGUGUGUCACUGGGGUGGGCUUUUAGGGUUCAAAGCCCAUGUCAGGCCUAGAGUGUUACUGUUCUAGACCCAUGCAAGCAACCAUGCUCCUCACCAUGACAUAACUCUCUCUAACUCUCUGAAACUGUAAGCAAGCCCCAAACUAAAUGCUUUCUUUUUUUAAGACUUGCCUCGGUCAUGGUAUCUCUUUACAGCAACAGAACAGUGACUAUAAAAAAACCCGUCCUGG